UAAGGGCAUAAGGGCAUAUGGUGGAUGCCUUGGUACCAAAUAGCGAUGAAGGACGUGGUUAACUGCGAAAAGCUUCGGUGAGCUGUAAGCGAGCUUAGACCCGGAGAUGUCCGAAUGGGGCAACCCAUCUCUGUUGAUACGGAGAUAUUCCGAUGUAAAUUGGGAGGCAAACGCGCUGAACUGAAACAUCUAAGUAGGCGCAGGAAGAGAAAGUAAAAACGAUUUCCUCAGUAGCGGCGAGCGAACGGGAAAGAGCCUAAACCGUGCAAUUUAUUGUGCGGGGUAGUGGGAUGCAUCGACAAAGUUUUUUUACAAAUAUAGACGAACCUAUCUGGAAAGUUAGACCGUAGAGGGUGAAAGUCCUGUAGUUGAAAUAUUUGUAGUUAGAUGAGGUGCACACCCGAGUAGGUCGGGACACGAGAAAUCCUGAUUGAAUCUGCGAGGACCAUCUCGUAAGGCUAAAUAUAUUUGGUAACCGAUAGAGAAUUAGUACCGUGAGGGAAAGGUGAAAAGUACCCCGGAAGGGGAGUGAAAUAGAACCUGAAACCGUAUGCUUACAAUCAGUCGGAGUCUGCAUUAAUGUGGAUGACGGCGUGCCUUUUGCAUAAUGAGCCGGCGAGUUAAUGUUAUCAGCGAGGAUAAGUGAUACAGUCAUGUAUCCUAAGCGAAAGCGAGUGUUAAUAGCGCGUAUAGUUGAUAGUAUUAGACCCGAAGCCUAGUGAUCUACCCAUGUCCAGGUUGAAGUCACGGUAACACGUGAUGGAGGACCGCACCAGGACACGUUGAAAAGUGUUUGGAUGAGGUGUGGGUAGGGGUGAAAGGCCAAUCAAACUAGGAGAUAUCUGGUUCUCUCCGAAAACUGUUUAGGCAGUGCCUCAUGAUAGAGUUAUGGAGGUAGAGCACUGAAUGGGCUAGGGGGCAUACCAGCCUACCGAACCCAAUCAAACUCCGAAUGCCAUAACUUGAUCUGUGGGAGACAGCGUGCGGGGGAUAAGCUUCGUACGCGAGAGGGAAACAACCCAGACCGACGGUUAAGGUCCCAAAAUGUAUGCUUAGUGAGAAAGGAUGUGUUAUUGCACAGACAGCCAGGAUGUUGGCUUAGAAGCAGCCACCAUUUAAAGAGUGCGUAAUAGCUCACUGGUCAAGUGGUAGUGCACCGAAGAUGAUCGGGACUUAAGCAUACUACCGAAACCGCGGAUUUCUGUGAUUAGUCACAGGAGUGGUAGGAGAGCAUUCCAUUCAGCGUAGAAGGAGAGCUGUAAGGCGAUCUGGAGCGUAUGGAAGAGACCAUGCCGGCAUGAGUAGCGAUAAUGCGAGUGAGAAACUCGCACACCGCAAGCCUCAGGUUUCCUGAGUAAAGAUAAUCUGCUCAGGGUAAGUCUGCCCCUAAGGCGAGUCAAGCGAGCUUGAGUAGCUGAUGGGAAUCCGGUUAAUAUUCCGGAACCUGAUGUAUUUAGAGAUGGAGUGACGCGGUAGUGCGUCGGAGACGGGUGUUGGAAGUCCCGUUGAACCUUUUUAGGUUAGCUUAUAGGUAAAUCCGUAGGCUUUUAAUCCGAGGAAGGGGACGAGAGCUUUAAGUUCGAAAGUCCGAUUAUAGAUACCGCCAAGAAAUAGCUUCUAAUUGUUUGAAGAUAUAUCAGACAGUACCGCAAACCGACACAGGUAGGCGAGGAGAGUAUCCUCAGGUGUUCGAGAGAAUUCUGGUUAAGGAACUCGGCAAAAUGACCCCGUAACUUCGGGAGAAGGGGUGCCCCGUUAUUGUGAAGAUACUAGCUAUCGGAGCGAGAAGGGGUUGCAGUGAAAAGGUCCAAGCGACUGUUUAUCAAAAACACAGGUCUAUGCGAAGGUGCAAGCCAAAGUAUAUAGACUGACACCUGCCCGGUGCUGGAAGGUUAAGUGGAGGGGUUAGCUUACGCGAAGCUCUGAAAUGAAGCCCCAGUAAACGGCGGCCGUAACUAUAACGGUCCUAAGGUAGCGAAAUUCCUUGUCGGGUAAGUUCCGACCUGCACGAAUGGUGUAACGACUUGGACGCUGUCUCAACCAGGAACUCGGUGAAAUUGUAGUGGCGGUGAAGAUGCCGCCCACCCGCGAACGGAUGGAAAGACCCCGUGAACCUUUACUGCAUCUUGAUAUUGUAAUUUGGUAAGGUAUGUGUAGGAUAGGUGGGAGACUUUGAAGCUGGUACGCUAGUAUCGGUGGAGUCGACCUUGAAAUACCACCCUUAUUUUGUUGGAUUACUAACGUGUGUUAGACGCAUGCGGACAUUGUCAGGAGGGCAGUUUGACUGGGGCGGUCGCCUCCCAAAAAGUAACGGAGGCUCACAAAGGUUCCCUCAGGCUGGAUGGUAAUCAGCCGUAGAGCGUAAAGGUAUAAGGGAGCUUAACUGCGAGACUGACGGGUCGAGCAGAUACGAAAGUAGGUCUUAGUGAUCCGGCGACUCUGAAUGGAAGGGUCGUUGCUCAAAGGAUAAAAGGUACUCCGGGGAUAACAGGCUGAUACCACCCAAGAGUUCAUAUCGACGGUGGUGUUUGGCACCUCGAUGUCGGCUCAACUCAUCCUGGGGCUGAAGAAGGUCCCAAGGGUUCGGCUGUUCGCCGAUUAAAGAGUUACGCGAGCUGGGUUCAGAACGUCGUGAGACAGUUCGGUCCCUAUCCUUCGUGGGCGUAGGAAAUUUGAGGGGAGCUGCAUUUAGUACGAGAGGACCGGUGUGGACGAACCUCUGGUGUAUCGGUUGUGCCGCCAGGUGCAUUGCCGAGUAGCUAAGUUCGGAACGGAUAACCGCUGAAAGCAUCUAAGCGGGAAGCCAACCUCAAGAUAGAUUUCCCAUGAGAUAUGUUGGAGACUACAACGUUGAUAGGUCACAGGUGUACGCACAGUAAUGUGUUCAGCCGAGUGAUACUAAUAUAUCGAUUGCCUUACAUUUUAUUUUAUUU
rnacentral:rRNA from 1 species